rnacentral:rRNA from 1 species
AUUGAACGCUGGCGGCAGGCCUAACACAUGCAAGUCGAGCGAGAAAGCACUUCGGUGUGAGUAGAGCGGCGGACGGGUGAGUAACGCGUAGGAAUCUACCCAGUAGUGGGGGACAACAGUCGGAAACGGCUGCUAAUACCGCAUACGCCCUAAGGGGGAAAGCGGGGGCUCUUCGGACCUCGCGCUAUUGGAUGAGCCUGCGUCGGAUUAGCUUGUUGGUGAGGUAAAGGCUCACCAAGGCGACGAUCCGUAGCUGGUCUGAGAGGAUGAUCAGCCACACUGGGACUGAGACACGGCCCAGACUCCUACGGGAGGCAGCAGUGGGGAAUAUUGCGCAAUGGGGGCAACCCUGACGCAGCCAUGCCGCGUGUGUGAAGAAGGCCUUAGGGUUGUAAAGCACUUUCAAUAGAGAGGAAAAGCUCAUGCUUAAUACGUAUGAGCCCUGACGUUACCUAUAGAAGAAGCACCGGCUAACUCCG